rnacentral:rRNA from 1 species
GAUGAACGCUGGCGGCGUGCCUAACACAUGCAAGUCGAGCGGUAUAUGCUGGAACGAAACUUCGGUCUAGAGAAGGCAUAGAGAGCGGCGGACGGGUGAGUAACGCGUAGGCAACCUGCCCCAUACAGAGGGAUAGCCUCGGGAAACCGGGAUUAAAACCUCAUAACGCGAGGAGUUCACAUGUUCUCCUCGCCAAAGAUUCAUCGGUAUGGGAUGGGCCUGCGUCUGAUUAGCUAGUUGGUGAGGUAACGGCUCACCAAGGCGACGAUCAGUAGCCGACCUGAGAGGGUAAUCGGCCACAUUGGAACUGAGACACGGUCCAAACUCCUACGGGAGGCAGCAGUGGGGAAUAUUGCACAAUGGGCGAAAGCCUGAUGCAGCAACGCCGCGUGAGCGAUGAAGGCCUUUGGGUCGUAAAGCUCUGUCCUUGGGGAAAGAAAAAAUGACGGUACCCUUGGAGGAAGCCCCGGCUAACUACGUGCCAGCAGCCG